UACCUAUCUGGGUGAGGCAGGCCCUGGU
rnacentral:sRNA from 1 species